rnacentral:rRNA from 1 species
UACAGAGGGUGCAAGCGUUAAUCGGAAUUACUGGGCGUAAAGCGUGCGUAGACGGUUACAUAAGUCGGGUGUGAAAGCCCCGGGCUCAACCUGGGAAUUGCAUUCGAGACUGCGUAGCUAGGGUGCGGAAGAGGGAAGCGGAAUUUCCGGUGUAGCGGUGAAAUGCGUAGAUAUCGGAAGGAACACCAGUGGCGAAAGCGGCUUCCUGGUCCAGCACCGACGUUCAGGCACGAAAGCUAGGGGAGCAAACAGG